rnacentral:rRNA from 1 species
AACACACGCAAGUCGAACGAGAAAGGGGAGCAAUCCCUGAGUACAGUGGCGACCGGGUGAGUAACACGUGACUAACCUACCUUCUUGUGGGGGAUAACCUCGGGAAACCGGAGCUAAUACCGCAUAACAUCUCUGGGAUGAAAAGCCGGAGAUCAAAGGAGCAAUUCGCAGGAAGAGGGGGUCGCGGCUGAUUAGCUAGUUGGUGAGGUAACGGCUCACCAAGGCGAUGAUCGGUAGCCGGCCUGAGAGGGCGCACGGCCACACUGGAACUGAAACACGGUCCAGACUCCUACGGGAGGCAGCAGUGGGGAAUUUUGCGCAAUGGGGGAAACCCUGACGCAGCAACGCCGCGUGGAGGAUGAAGUCCCUUGGGACGUAAACUCCUUUCGACCCGGACGAUAAUGACGGUACGGGUGGAAGAAGCCCCGGCUAACUUCGUGCCAGCAGCCGCGGUAAUACGAGGGGGGC